rnacentral:lncRNA from 1 species
AAGGUCUCACCUUACUAAAAGAACAAUUAUCUUUCCCAUGCCCUUGUUGUUGUGGAUCUUUGGAAGUUAUGAGCAUGCACGACUUUAGCUAUUUGCUCACGUACUAUCACUGGUUCCAGUUUUCCACCGUCAUUAAUGGGCUUUGCUCAUUCAAAAGGUGAUCUGGAAUUGAUUCUGUCCAUAUCUCCACUCAAGCUUUCUCCUUUUUGCAUAUUAAUUGUUGUGUAAUUCCUUUUCUGAUUGGCUUUUCCCUUACCCAAUUUUUUUCAUGGUUCGUACAACAGCUAUCGUGCCACGAGAACUUUUGUUUGCUAAUUCUCAAAAUUAAUUUUGCCACUCGCCAUGCAUGUUUCCUAGGUUAUGGCUAGGGCUUACAUGAACAACUAUUUAGGUAGCCUUCGGCCAGCUUGCCAUGUUACCCACUUGGAUUAUCCUGCACGGGUUCUUCAACCACCU